rnacentral:rRNA from 1 species
UACAGAGGGUGCAAGCGUUAAUCGGAAUUACUGGGCGUAAAGCGCGCGUAGGUGGUUUGUUAAGUUGGAUGUGAAAGCCCCGGGCUCAACCUGGGAACUGCAUUCAAAACUGACAAGCUAGAGUAUGGUAGAGGGUGGUGGAAUUUCCUGUGUAGCGGUGAAAUGCGUAGAUAUAGGAAGGAACACCAGUGGCGAAGGCGGCUCUCUAGUCCGGUACUGACGCUGAGACGCGAAAGCGUGGGGAGCGAACAGG